AUUGACCGCCGGCGGCAGGCCUAACACAUGUAAGUCGAGCGAGCGGCGGACGGGUGAGUAAUGUAUGGGGACUGCCCGAUAGAGGGGGACAACUACUGGAAACGGUGGCUAAUAACGCAUACUAUCGGAUAACCCAUAUGGGAUUAGCUAGUAGGUGUGGUAAAGGCUCACCUAGGCGACGAUCUCUAGCUGGUUUGAGAGGAUGAUCAGCCACACUGGGACUGAGACACGGCCCCGACUCCUACGGAGGCAGCAGUGGGGAAUAUUGCACGAUGGGCGCAAGCCUGAUGCAGCCAUGCCGCGUGUAUGAAGAGGGCCUUAGGGUUGUAAAGUACUUUCAGCGGGGAGGCCUUCCCCGCAGAAGAAGCACCGGCUAACUCCGUGCCAGCCGCCGCGGUAAUUC
rnacentral:rRNA from 1 species